rnacentral:rRNA from 1 species
UACAGAGGUCUCAAGCGUUGUUCGGAUUCAUUGGGCGUAAAGGGUGUGUAGGUGGCGCCGUAAGUGGGGUGUGAAAUCUCGGGGCUUAACUCCGAAACUGCAUUCCAUACUGCGGUGCUUUGAGGACUGGAGAGGAGACUGGAAUUCAUGGUGUAGCAGUGAAAUGCGUAGAGAUCAUGAGGAAGACCAGUGGCGAAGGCGGGUCUCUGGACAGUUCCUGACACUGAGACACGAAGGCCAGGGGAGCAAACGGGG